UGCCAUGUGAGCCCCUUUGAAGGUAAU
rnacentral:piRNA from 1 species